UCACAUUAGAUUCGAAAGAGCUAGAAUUGUAACCAUUGUUAAUUGUUUUAGCAAUUAAUAGAAUAAGAAGAAACAAUAGAACUAGAAAUGUCAGAACUAAGAUUACAACAACAUAAAGAUUCUUCCAAAAUACAAAGUUUGAAUCAUAAGAUAUAGAAUUCGAGACUUCAAGGUCGGAUGUAAAGAAAAUUUCUAUCCAACACAGGACACACAACUCCCUAUCUUUUGAGACAGAGCUCUUUGUAGGUUCCCUGCUUGCAAGUUGGCUUUUAAACUUAACAUCGAAAAGCAAGAGAAAGUUCAGAGAUUGAUGACAUUACCUCAACUAUAUACACAGAGGUAUUCUCGAGUAUCACUUCUAUUACUACAAAUACCCAAUAAUCUAAGACCCAAAAUAGCUCCCAACUUUACAGAAUUCCCAGAUGUCUGUACAAGCCCAAUUGACGAGCCCAAAUUAAAUCAAAUAUACCCACCCAAAACCCAUUACAACCCUAGCCCAAUACCUAAAACAAAUAAAAAACUAAAGCCCAACCUAAAACAGACCCAAACCCCAGGUUGACCCAACUAGCCCAAAUUUAGGGUUUUAAAAUCUAAAACCCUAAAUCACCUAAUCAACCCCUAGCGCCGCCAACAUCCCAUCGCCCCAUGCCAGUCACCUGCUCCACCUGCUUCACCACCCAUGUCAGCACCGCCCACUUGCCUGCAAAGAUCAAAAGAAGAGGGGACAGAUAAUAGUAUUAAAAAUCAUGUAAAUGGUUAUAAAAAGGGAAGCAAAAAUCUAUUGUAAGGUCGGCAAAAUUUUUUUUGGCUAAUACAAAAUAUUAGGCAGAUUUUUAUCAACAAGAAACAAAUUUAAAUAUAAGCAUAAAAUUGCAGCAAAAAAACAGAGAAGGGAAUCCGAAGAUUUCAAAUCGAAGGUUUAUCCAUCUUCUUCUUAUUUUUCUUUUUUUCGGACUUAUUUAUACAUAUCUUUCUCUAUUUUAUAUUUUAAAAAAUACAGCAUACACGUACAUAUUUAUAGACCAAAAAAAUAUAAAAAAUAAAAAAAAAUAAUACCUUUCGAAACUCCGGCCACCACGCGGUGGCCAGCGGUGACCCUGCGGUGGUCCGACAACUCCUCCUGGCCGGGAUCUGGGAUUUUUCCAGAGAGAAAGGGAGAACUCUCCCUCUUGUUUUCUGAAAC
rnacentral:lncRNA from 1 species